rnacentral:rRNA from 1 species
AACGAACGCUGGCGGCAGGCUUAACACAUGCAAGUCGAGCGCCCCGCAAGGGGAGCGGCAGACGGGUGAGUAACGCGUGGGAACGUACCUUUUGGUUCGGAACAACUCCGGGAAACUGGAGCUAAUACCGGAUAAGCCCUAACGGGGAAAGAUUUAUCGCCGAAAGAUCGGCCCGCGUCUGAUUAGCUAGUUGGUGAGGUAACGGCUCACCAAGGCGACGAUCAGUAGCUGGUCUGAGAGGAUGAUCAGCCACACUGGGACUGAGACACGGCCCAGACUCUUAGGGGGGGCAGCAGGGGGGAAUAUUGGACAAGGGGCGAAAGCCUGAUCCAGCCAUGCCGGGUGAGUGAUGAAGGCUUUGGGGUUGAAAAGCUCUUUUUGCCGGGAAGAUAAGGACUGUACCGGAAGAAUAAGCCCCGGCGAACUUCGU